rnacentral:lncRNA from 1 species
AUGGUUUUAGAAAAAUAAUCCAAGAUCGGAUUGUAAAGAGAUAACCAGUCUAUGUCUAGAAUUAUACCAAAAAUCUACCAUAUCCAGCUCAAUGAGAUCAACCUGAGUAUAAAACUUCCAAACGAUCACCAGACAAGAUCUAUAUACUCAAUCCACUACUACAGAAUCACCUGAAGAGGUAGCUACAUGCAACAGUACAAAUAAUGAUUCUUAAAGUAAACUCAAC